GAUGAACGCUGGCGGCGUGCCUAAUACAUGCAAGUCGAACGAUAGUGAGAAGCUUGCUUCUCACGAAAGUGGCGCACGGGUGCGUAACGCGUAUGCAACCUACCUUAAUCAGGGGGAUAGCCCGAAGAAAUUCGGAUUAACACCGCAUAAAAUCACAGUAUAGCAUUAUACAAUGAUUAAAUAUUUAUAGGAUUAAGAUGGGCAUGCGUGACAUUAGUUAGUUGGCGGGGUAACGGCCCACCAAGACCACGAUGUCUAGGGGAUCUGAGAGGAUGACCCCCCACACUGGUACUGAGACACGGACCAGACUCCUACGGGAGGCAGCAGUAAGGAAUAUUGGUCAAUGGAGGCAACUCUGAACCAGCCAUGCCGCGUGCAGGAAGACAGCCCUCUGGGUCGUAAACUGCUUUUAUUCGGGAAUAAACCUAUCUACGUGUAGAUAGCUGAAUGUACCGAAGGAAUAAGGAUCGGCUAACUCCGUGCCAGCCGCCGCCGUAA
rnacentral:rRNA from 1 species